CUUCAUAAUCUGAUAGAUCACUUUACUAUUCAUUUACUGUGUAGGAAAAUAUAUAAAAACAUUGAAUCAGAAGAUGUGUUCUAACCUUUGACGUGAUUACUGUCAAAAUCUUCUGCAGUUAUAACAUUAUAAAGGUAAAUAAUCCUUGACUCAUUUACACUUCUAUACAAAAGAACAAACAUUGGCGCAUGAAUCAGAAAAAGAAAAUUACAUAAAGAGUAAAGAGAAAAUGCAGAGGCAAACAGUUUGAUGUAAAUUUCUCCAUUAUGUUUGACUGACACUCAAAGAGGAAUAAUAAGCAAAAUUUCAAGAAGCUUUUAAGGAACAAUUUCCGAGAUAUUUUAAGGCUAAAUCACAUUUAAGGUCUUGCUGUCGUUUGUAAGAAGACUGAAGGGAGAAGAAUUGUUUUACUGAAUUUCUGUCUUUAGACCUGCAGGUCUGCUGUCUCUCUGCUUCAGGACUAAUUGGACGAGGUGAAGCUUUACGUUGCUAAUUGCUAACAGUUAUGCAGUUUCUUGACCUGCAGUUCAGGGACAUCCUGCAAUAUCCUCUUUAAAUCAAAAAUAAACAUGCUGUGUUUGUGGGUCAAGCUGGAGUUUAAUGACUUUUACUCAGUGAAGAUCAGAGCUUGUGUGUGGAACUGCACGUGUUGCUACACACUGUGACUUAGAUUAGGGUUGGGCAAAAUAUUGCCAAUAUCGAUAUUAGCAAUAAGAAAAUAUAGAUAUAUAUUACAGGGCUCCAGGCGUACUCAUAUGUACUAAAAUACUCAAUGUAUCUUAUUUCUAAGGGUCCUGAUGUCCUGAUGUUGCCAGACACCCCCUUUCUAUGCCUCCUGUAGUGCAUCAUGGGAAAACACCAGGCCUUCUUACUGCUGCUGCUUUCAGUCCUGAGUGCUGCUGAGGUGUGUCAGGGUGAGGAUGUGACGGCUGUGAUGAUGUCACAGAAGGGGGCGGUGACGGAUGUCCCGGUGAAAGUGUCCCGAGGGCAGAUACUGGCGGCUCAGUUUGAGUGUUACCUUAAAAUACUGCACGAACCUCCACACACACACACAAGUCAGACACACACACACACUACACACACACACACACACUAUACACACACACAUACAGGUCAGACACACACACACACUACACACACACACACACACUAUACACACACACACACAGGUCAGAAACACACACACACUACA
rnacentral:lncRNA from 1 species